AUCUAUCACACAUUUAUUUUCAAGGAGGUUGAAUAUGUUUUUAGAUGAACACAUUAAUCGAAACUUUGAUAAACUUAAUGAUA
rnacentral:sRNA from 1 species